UACGGUCACCGCGCGGAAAACGUCGUCUGGAAAACUCGCACCGCAUCCAUCCUCCCACAGAUGGCGCACCAUCCACUCGGCUCAUAUAAGCGAGCGCUCGCGCACCGCCGCACUGCCCGGCCGACUCCCGCGCCACCAACGCGUACCGCGAGUGUAGUGACAUGGAUGUACUUUCUUUGGACCCAACUGGACUUUAUUAAAAAAAUAAAAAAUGGCUGUCCUUGAUCCUACCGGCCAGUACUAAACAUGAUCCUCGACCCCACUGGACAGUAUUAAAGCAUCAUGAUCGGGCUAGACCCCACAGAAAUUUACUAAUCCCCCCAAAAUGUGCUGCGGGCGGCGGAGGAUUUGGACGGGAUCCAGUCCGGAAGAGACAUCGUCGUGCAGAAAAAGAAGGUUUCGGUACUAGGGCCGGAAAUGGGUUCCGUCACCUGCGAAGGAAUGCAAUGUAGAUUUCCCGUCUGCAAGCCGCCCCCGUAUCCAAUACUCACUACGUUUAUAUUACGACUGAUAUACUAUAGUGCACAUAUCCUUCAAGCAUUUUGUACUUUUAUAUAAAUUAUUGUAGAUAUAUACGAUGUAGAAACUGAUAGGAACAUAACUUUAAAAUGUAAAAUAUAACUAACACCUCUGAUACGUACGUUUUUAUUAUGUUUUUUGUUCAUUUAUUUUUUUCAUUAUUUGAGAGAAAAUAUCAUUUCAUAACAUUUAAUUUUAAAGAUAAUUUCUUUUUUGUUUAAAAUUAAAUCAGUAAUAUCUAACUAGAUUAAGAAAAUUUCAAGACAAGCAAAAAGAGGCAAAAAGGUUAUUUUUGAAAGGUUUUCUUCGCCCAUUGUACAUUAUUCGAGAGACCUUCAAAAACCCGUUUUUUUAUGUACAGAUGUGUAGUUUUAAUUGUAGUUUUACUAG